rnacentral:rRNA from 1 species
UACGGAGGGUGCAAGCGUUGCUCGGAAUUAUUGGGCGUAAAGGGCAGGUAGGUGGUCUCAUUUGUCGGGGGUGAAAGCCUUGGGCUUAACCCAAGAAGUGCCCCCGAAACGGUGAGACUGGAGUCCUGGAGAGGGUCGUGGAAUUCCCGGUGUAGCGGUGAAAUGCGUAGAGAUCGGGAGGAACACCAGAGGCGAAGGCGGCGACCUGGACAGGAACUGACACUAAACUGCGAAAGCGUGGGGAGCAAACAGG